GACAGUGUGGAGUUGUUACUGGAGUAUAGUACCAAGCUUCUGGAGCUCUUUCAGUAUUCUUGGGAAAUGCUGCCACUCAUGUACGUCAUUUUAAAGGAUACAGGAGCUAAUCUCGAAGAGGCUGUGAGGCGCAUCAUGGAAGCUUCGAUAGCUUAUCACCCGAAAAUGAAAAAGUCGCCUUGGAACUCCGUCUUGGACAAAAUCCUUUCGUUCAUAGUAAAUUUACAACCUACUUGAAAGGGCAAUAGUUUUGGCCAUUUUUAGAGCUGUUUUCAUGGGAAUUUUUAUUUAUAUACUUGAAAAUGUAAUUUUAUUAUAACAAAGAUGGCUCCUUCGCGAACCUGCCAGAUAAGAAUAACAACUCCGUUCGAGUUGGAGAGGAGACAAGGAUGUAUGUUUCAUUCUGGCAAUUCAACAAUGGGAAGAUACUUAUUUUUUCUAUCAGAAGCGGCGAAAUUCGCUGACAAACGUGGAAAUCGUAGCGUCAACGAAAUCGGCAACGCGUUUAGGAUAACUUAACAACGAAUUGCGUCAGUUUUGUCUUUUAUUCGUGAUAAAAUUCUGUGACACAGAAUGUAUCUCCGUUCCGACGAGAUUACAAUUUCUUAAUUUCAAUUUCGUUGGGUCCGUGAUGUUCCAAUUCACCUAGAAAACAAUGUCAAUUUUCGCCUGUCGGGACUUCCACGAUCGUCGCGCUCGAAGAUCCUCUAGGACACUUCCGGCAGUCUCGGAGGCGUCUCUUCACUCGAAGAUGAACUCGCCCUGAAGACCAAUACCGUCAUCCUCAUGAAGAUAUCCCGUGAAACGCGGUUUAAGAAAGUGGAAAUGCGCGAAUCGGAACACGUUGUUCUGUUGAUGGUGCUUCUGUAAAAGUUCUCCCGCCAGUUCGACGCAUUCCUUUAGAAAGUGAUGCAUCGACGAAGCGUCUUUGUUCCGUAGAAAGGAAACGCUUUCUAUGCGACCGUGCCUGGGUGAGUCGUGGGUGUCGUGUAAGUCGUGCACUGUUGGACUUCCUCCACUCGAAGAUCCGUGCUAAUUCGAUGCUCGGGCGGAUGGGAACCUGCGACCAGCAACGAGCCAAUAACGACAUUCGCACGAUGCACUUCUGGAAAGCGCUCAGAAUGGUCCAAAGCAGUAGUCGGACGUACAAUUGCUGCUCGGCAUACCCUCCUUCUACAGGGGCGCCAACAUACGAGGGCCAAGUGCCCUGCAUAGGGG